UCUGGCGGGAUAGGUAGGGAAAAUUUUAACCUAGGGUUUGGUUUAUAAACCCUAAAGAGGAGAUUCUGAAACUCUAGUACGAGAGCAAAAUCGACUGGCCAAGAUCGAGGUUUCGAGGAGGCAAUCACAGCGAAUUUCAUCAGGGUUUUGAUCAUGUCAGGCAUAAAUGUUGGUCAACUCUUGGUUGAGAUAGAGCAGUUACGACAACGUGUACAAGAACUAGAAACAGAAAAUAAGCAGAUACAACAUGAUCUAGGCGAGUUUAUUCAACAACUAAACGAUGCUCGUGAGGAACAUAUAAACUACAAAAAUUCUAGUCGGGAUGAAUUUGACCGACAGGUGGACAUAUUAGCGCGUAAACUUUUUCCCUCGUAACCUUUUCCCUUUUUUCUGUUUUUAAUAAUCCCCUUUGGAGGACGGAGGAUAUCCAUGCAACAUCACUUUUUUUUUUU